AUGCACGCUGGCGGCGUGCCUAAUACAUGCAAGUCGAGCGAACAGACGAGGAGCUUGCUCCUCUGACGUUAGCGUCGGACGGGUGAGUAACACGUGGAUAACCUACCUAUAAGACUGGGAUAACUUCGGGAAACCGGAGCUAAUACCGGAUAAUAUAUUGAACCGCAUGGUUCAAUAGUGAAAGACGGUUUUGCUGUCACUUAUAGAUGGAUCCGCGCCGCAUUAGCUAGUUGGUAAGGUAACGGCUUACCAAGGCAACGAUGCGUAGCCGACCUGAGAGGGUGAUCGGCCACACUGGAACUGAGACACGGUCCAGACUCCUACGGGAGGCAGCAGUAGGGAAUCUUCCGCAAUGGGCGAAAGCCUGACGGAGCAACGCCGCGUGAGUGAUGAAGGUCUUCGGAUCGUAAAACUCUGUUAUUAGGGAAGAACAAAUGUGUAAGUAACUAUGCACGUCUUGACGGUACCUAAUCAGAAAGCCACGGCUAACUACGUG
rnacentral:rRNA from 1 species